rnacentral:ncRNA from 1 species
CUGCGUGGUUGAAGAUCAACUUGAAGAAAUUCAAUGAAGCGCAGUUAAACGGCGGGAGUAACUAUGGGUCUGUUAAAGUUGCCAAAUGCCUCAUUUAAUCAGUGACACACAUGAAUG